rnacentral:rRNA from 1 species
GGAUGAACGCUGGCGGCGUGCUUAACACAUGCAAGUCGAGCGGAGGUUUAAAGCGGAAGUUUUCGGAUGGAAGCAGUAAACCUUAGCGGCGGACGGGUGAGUAACGCGUGGGUAACCUGCCUCAUACAGGGGGAUAACAGUUAGAAAUGACUGCUAAAACCGCAUAAGCGCACAUUGUCGAGUGACAGAGUGUGAAAAACUCCGGUGGUAUGAGAUGGACCCGCGUCUGAUUAGCUAGUUGGUGAGGUAACGGCCCACCAAGGCGACGAUCAGUAGCCGGCCUGAGAGGGCGACCGGCCACAUUGGGACUGAGACACGGCCCAAACUCCUACGGGAGGCAGCAGUGGGGAAUAUUGCACAAUGGGGGAAACCCUGAUGCAGCGACGCCGCGUGAGUGAAGAAGUAUUUCGGUAUGUAAAGCUCUAUCAGCAGGGAAGAAGAAAGACGGUACCUGACUAAGAAGCCCCGGCUAACUACGUGCCAGCAGCCGCGGUAAUACGUAGGGGGCAAGCGUUAUCC